rnacentral:rRNA from 1 species
GACGAACGCUGGCGGCGUGCCUAAUACAUGCAAGUUGAGCGCUGAAGGUUGGUACUUGUACCAACUGGAUGAGCAGCGAACGGGUGAGUAACGCGUGGGGAAUCUGCCUUUGAGCGGGGGACAACAUUUGGAAACGAAUGCUAAUACCGCAUAAAAACUUUAAACACAAGUUUUAAGUUUGAAAGAUGCAAUUGCAUCACUCAAAGAUGAUCCCGCGUUGUAUUAGCUAGUUGGUGAGGUAAAGGCUCACCAAGGCGAUGAUACAUAGCCGACCUGAGAGGGGGUACGGCCACAUAGGGGCUGAAACACGGCCCAAACCCCGAGGGGGGGCAGGAGGAGGGAAUUUUGGGCAAGGGACGAAAGUUUGACCGAGCAACGCCGCGUGGGUGAAGAAGGUUUGCGGAUGGUAAACCUGUGUUGGUAGAGAAGAACGUUGGGGAGGGUGAAAAGCCAAUCAAGGGAGGGUAACAACCCAGAAAGGGAGGGCUAACUACG